GAUGAACGCUAGCGGCAGGCUUAACACAUGCAAGUCGAGGGGCAGCGCGGGUAGCAAUACCUGGCGGCGACCGGCAAACGGGUGCGGAACACGUACGCAAUCUGCCCUUACCCGGAGCAUAGCCCGAAGAAAUUCGGAUUAACUCUCCAUAAGAUAGUAAAAUGGCAUCAUUUAGCUAUUAAAAAUUUAUUGGGUAAGGAUGAGCGUGCGUCCCAUUAGCUAGUUGGUAGGGUAACGGCCUACCAAGGCGACGAUGGGUAGCUGGUGUGAGAGCACGACCAGCCACACGGGCACUGAGACACGGGCCCGACUCCUACGGGAGGCAGCAGUGAGGAAUAUUGGUCAAUGGACGCAAGUCUGAACCAGCCAUGCCGCGUGAAGGAUGAAGGCCUUCUGGGUUGUAAACUUCUUUUAUGUGGGAAGAAACCUCUGAUUUCUACUAGAGUUGACGGUACCAUAGGAAUAAGCACCGGCUAACUCCGUGCCAGCCGCCGCGGUAAAAC
rnacentral:rRNA from 1 species